GUAGGUGGCAAGCGUUGUCCGGAUUUAUUGGGCGUAAAGCGAGCGCAGGCGGUUCCUUAAGUCUGAUGUGAAAGCCCCCGGCUCAACCGGGGAGGGUCAUUGGAAACUGGGGAACUUGAGUGCAGAAGAGGAGAGUGGAAUUCCAUGUGUAGCGGUGAAAUGCGUAGAUAUAUGGAGGAACACCAGUGGCGAAGGCGACUCUCUGGUCUGUAACUGACGCUGAGGCUCGAAAGCGUGGGUAGCAAACAGGAUUAGAUACCCUGGUAGUCCACGCCGUAAACGAUGAGUGCUAAGUGUUGGAGGGUUUCCGCCCUUCAGUGCUGCAGUUAACGCAUUAAGCACUCCGCCUGGGGAGU
rnacentral:rRNA from 1 species